UGGGAAAUGUGUAAAUAUAGCACUUGAUACAGUCUAGGUGUUUAGGGAAGUUUUUGAAGGAAUCAAAAUAAUAAAAGCAAAAUUUGUAGGGCCCCUUUCAUGAGGAGAAUGUUAAGAUGAUGAAGAAAAAGAUGAUUUGAAUUAUCUGUGAUAGUUGCUAGUACUGUAAUGUCUUCUAUCAUGUAUAGAAUAUAGGUGGUUUUAGUAAAUAUCUAAGAUGUACAUUUACUUAAUGACCAUGGUAUAUCAAACAAUGCUUUUAAAAGAUUUUAUUAUUCAUUCUUAAUUUUUAAUUGCAACUUUUUCAUUAUAGAAACUGUGAGAAAACCGAUCCAUGUGAAUAUGAAUAGAGACAUAAAAAUGCCCCUGAGAAAACAUGAUUUAGAACUUGCAAUGUCGCCUCAUCUUGUCCCGUCUAACCUUUGCAUUGAUGAUAUGGAAAACAAUUUACACUAUGAAAGACAAGGCAGCAAGGAAGAACUUGGCCCAGUUAAGGUGAGAGUUAAACAAAAAUUUAUUUAAGUUAUUUUAACAAUUGUGACAUGCCACUGUUACCCAACCAGGUUCAUUUUUGCCCGCCGCCCAGAAAGCCAAACACUGAGAUGAUGAGAUAGCAGCAGAGAGAGGGUUUACUCACAAGGUAGCCAUGUGAGGAAGCGAGCUCAUGAGCCUGAAAUUUGCUUCCCCGAAAACAGAGACUCAGGGAUAUAUAUGGGCCGGGGUCAACGUGGUCUGAAAUGUGGAGAGAGGUGAUUGGAGGUGAGGAGAGGUGAGGUAAUGAUGAUUUGCACAAGCGUAGUCAGACUUCAUGCCUCUUCAUAGGACCCAUGUUCACAAAAUGGCGACAUCAGCAUGAUCUGAGGGGAGAGUUUUUAGCCUCUUCAAGUUAAAAGGUCACCUGUCGGACAUCUCCGUGGGCCCAGUUGAUGAGUUGGUGGUCUCAACUGGCCUGAAGUGGACAAGGAGUUCCAAAUUCCUGAAAAACAGCUCACACACGCGUUACCAUGGUGAUCCAGGCACCAG
rnacentral:lncRNA from 1 species